UACGUAGGGGGCUAGCGUUGUCCGGAAUCAUUGGGCGUAAAGAGCGCGUAGGCGGCUAGAUAAGUCCGGUGUGAAAGUCACAGGCUCAACCUGUGAAUGCCGCUGGAAACUGUCUGGCUAGAGUCCGGAAGGGGCGAGUGGAAUUCCCGGUGUAGCGGUGAAAUGCGCAGAUAUCAGGAGGAACGCCAAUGGCGAAGGCAGCUCGCUGGGACGGUACUGACGCUGAGGCGCGAAAGCGUGGGGAGCAAACAGG
rnacentral:rRNA from 1 species